rnacentral:rRNA from 1 species
UGACAUACCUAUACGUUGCCUCGGCGGAUCAGCCCGCGCCCCGUAAAAAGGGACGGCCCGCCCGAGGACCCCUAAACUCUGUUUUUAGUGGAACUUCUGAGUAAAACAAACAAAUAAAUCAAAACUUUCAACAACGGAUCUCUUGGUUCUGGCAUCGAUGAAGAACGCAGCAAAAUGCGAUAAGUAAUGUGAAUUGCAGAAUUCAGUGAAUCAUCGAAUCUUUGAACGCACAUUGCGCCCGCCAGUAUUCUGGCGGGCAUGCCUGUUCGAGCGUCAUUUCAACCCUCAAGCUCAGCUUGGUGUUGGGACUCGCGGUAACCCGCGUUCCCCAAAUCGAUUGGCGGUCACGUCGAGCUUCCAUAGCGUAGUAAUCAUACACCUCGUUACUGGUAAUCGUCGCGGCCACGCCGUAAAACCCCAACUUCUGAAUGUUGACCUCGGAUCAGGUAGGAAUACCCGCUGAACUUAAGCAUAUCAAUAAGCGGAGGAA